rnacentral:rRNA from 1 species
GACGUAGGGCGCGAGCGUUGUCCGGAUUUAUUGGGCGUAAAGAGCUCGUAGGCGGCUUGUCGCGUCGACCGUGAAAACUUGGGGCUCAACCCCAAGCCUGCGGUCGAUACGGGCAGGCUCGAGUUCGGUAGGGGAGACUGGAAUUCCUGGUGUAGCAGUGAAAUGCGCAGAUAUCAGGAGGAACACCGGUGGCGAAGGCGGGCCUCUGGGCAGUAACUGACGCUGAGGAGCGAAAGCGUGGGGAGCGAACAGG